rnacentral:lncRNA from 1 species
CUCUGUAGAGAGAGAACUGUGCCGUGUUGUGUACAUGACACAAGUCACUAAAGGAAGGAAAUAGAAAUAUAACUCCAAAAAAUUGAACCAGGAAGAAAUAUCUUAUUUUCUAUUUUUAAUCUUUUGAGGUAGUGCUAAAUUAAGUGGUGAACUCCUUUGUGAAGUGAGAGACAAGUAGCGUCGAUGAAAAUACCACAAACUCUUAGUUUUGCCAAAAGACUGGAUAUUGGCAGCUGUGGGUCUUCUCCCACUUCACUAUCUACCCAAAUCUCCUAGUGAGGAGAAACUGUCAUGAAUCAUGAUCAAGGACAGAGGCUCAAAGGAAGCCCCGACUUGGAGGUGGAGAAAGAAAAAGCAAUGGGAAGAUGGAUGCAAAGGAAGAAGGUAGAGGAAAAGAAGAAAACAAACAAGAAACUGAG